rnacentral:tRNA from 1 species
GGCUAAGUACUUUAAUAAAAAGAAUUGAUUUGCAUUCAAAAAAUAAGCAUUUUUGCUUCUGAGCCA